rnacentral:lncRNA from 1 species
GCACUUGUCAGACAACUUAGCCAUAUUGUCAAGCUCCGUAAUAAGAGAAUUUCUGAGAGGUCAAACCUAAUGUGAGAAAGUCUCCGAUAGGCAAUUAAAACAAAUACUCAACUACUCAAUUGAACAGCUCAGGUUGAGGAGAAUUACAGGCGCUGGAGGAGGGGGAGCUGAGAGCCAGCAUUGAACGACGACACAGUGAGGUAGAGCUGGUGAAUGAGCCCUAAAGUCUUCUGAAUAGAGUUAAUGACCUUGUUCAGGUCUUGCUUAGGAUCAUCCACCCCUGCUGUUCCUGCUGUAUCAUUGGUUUGAGGGACCAUUAUUCCG